rnacentral:rRNA from 1 species
UACGAAGGGUGCUAGCGUUGUUCGGAAUCACUGGGCGUAAAGCGCGCGUAGGCGGCUUUUCAAGUCAGGGGUGAAAUCCCACAGCUCAACUGUGGAACUGCCCUUGAAACUGUAAAGCUAGAGUGUCGGAGGGGAUAGCGGAAUUGCUAAUGUAGAGGUGAAAUUCGUAGAUAUUAGCAGGAACACCGGUGGCGAAGGCGGCUAUCUGGACGACAACUGACGCUGAGGCGCGAAAGCACGGGGAUCAAACAGG